GGAGGGUACAUGGUCCUACAAUCCCCUUCCAAGGCACACCCCAAUGACCUCACUUCCUCUCACUAAGCCCCACCUCUCAAUGUCAAGCUGGGGACCAAGCUGUCAACACGAGGUUCUUUGGGGCAUUCCAGAUUGAACCCUAGUGGUCUCCCUGGACUGUCGACUGUCACCUCAACUCAAGGAAUCUUCUGGGCCCACCUGGUUCCCCUCCUGUGCUGCAGCCUGGCGACCAUUCAAGGCAGAGAGCUGGGGUAAUUGCCGGGCUCACUUCUGUCUCUUGGGGAUCAUGGAUGUUUGUUGCCUGUUAUCUGAGGUCUGCAAACUGGUGCUCACUGUGUUCUGUCUGUAUUCUCAGUUGUUUCAAGAAGGAGAGUAAAAUCUCAUCCUUGUUAUUUCAUUUUGCCUGGAAGCAGAAAUCAUCCUGAUGAUGCCUUUCCUGUCUGUAGGAUCCGCAGUGAUGCCCCCAUUUCAUUCCUCACAUUGGUGGCUUGUGAAUUCUUUCUUUAAAAUCAAUCUAACUAAAGGCCUAUCAAUUUUAUUUGUCUUUACCAAGAAAGAUUUAAAAUUUCAUUGAUGUUCUUUAUUAUUUGUUUCCUAAUUUAUUAGUUUCUGCUGUUCUUAUUUCCUUUCUUGACUUAAUUCAGACCUAAUUUUCCCUCCUAAGUGGCACUUUGAUUUUAUUCCUUCCUCCUCCUCCUCCUCCUCCUCCUCCUCUUCCUCCUCCUCCUCCUUCUUUCUCUUUUAAAUAGUACCAGCAUUUAAAGAUAUGAACUUCCCACCAGGCACUGCUAUAAAUAAAUCCUGAAAAUUUUAAUAUGAGUUGUUAGGUUAAAAUAUUUUUCUAAAUUCUUUUGUGAUUUGUUUUCUUUUGUCCAUAAUUUCUUUAGAAGUAUAUUGUUUAGU
rnacentral:lncRNA from 1 species